AUUGAACGCUGGCGGGAGGCCUAACACAUGCAAGUCGAGCGAGCGGCGGACGGGUGAGUAAUGUCUGGGAAAAUGCCUGAUGGAGGGGGAUAAAUACUGGAAAAGGUAGCUAAUACCGCAUACCAUCAGAGGUGCCCAGAUGGGAUUAGAUAGUAGGUGGGGUAAUGGCUCACCUAGGCGACGAUCCCUAGCUGGUCUGAGAGGAGGACCAGCCACACUGGAACUGAGACACGGCCCAGACUCCUACGGGAGGCAGCAGUGGGGAAUUUUGCACAAUGGGCGCAAGCCUGAUGCAGCCAUGCCGCGUGUAUGAAGAAGGCCUUCGGGUUGUAAAGUACUUUCAGCGAGGAGGCGUUACUCGCAGAAGAAGCACCGGCUAACUCCGUGCCAGCAGCCGCGGUAAUUC
rnacentral:rRNA from 1 species